ACAUUUUCACAGUGGUAUUGUCAUGACCAGUGAAGUAUGACUGAGGUGUGGUUAUUGCUCAUUGAGGGCUUUUACCAAUACCCCGCCGAAGAGACAUGAAAUACUGUCUCUGUGCAAUUUUUGGCAGCUCCUACGUGGG